UAUAGAUCGGCCACGUGGCCGCCUCGCUUUCUUUUCGAAAGGAAGGAAAGCCAGGUAGGUUGGUUUUUUUUUCUUUCUUCAAGGGGAUCGAGUGGAUUCCUAGUCCGUGUGCUUCUCCUUUGAUUUUGCCCUGCCCUGGAGAGAGCUCGUCUUUUUUCCGGGUUUAUUAAUUAAUAUUAAUUAAUAAAGGACUAGCUUGAACGUAGUUUUAAAUUGGGGUUUUUAAAUCAGGGGUUUAAAAGGCAUCAUCUGAAUUUAAUUGUCUAUUCUUUUUGCUGUUUUAUAUGUAUUAUAUGUUUUCUGUUGUUUUAUUGGCUGUGAACCGCCCUGAGUCCUUCGGGAGAUGGGCGGUAUACAAAUAUAAUAAAUAAUAAUAAUAAUAUCCUUUCUCUCUUUUUCUCCCUCCCUCCCUAUCUUUUCUUUCUUUUCCGUCUUUCUUUUUCCUUUUCUUUCAUUAUCUUUCUUCCUUCCUUUUUCUGUUAACCUUUCUUUCAUUCUCUUUCCCUUUUUUCUUUCCCUUCCUUCCUUCCUUUCCUUUUUCUUUUCCUUCUUUUCACUUUUUUCGUUCCCUUCCUUCCUUUCAUUUUUUCUUUCUUUUCCUUCCUUCCUUCCUUACCCUUUUUUCUUUUCCUUUCUCUCCCUCCUUUUCUAUCUUUUUCUUUCCCUUCCUUCCUUCCUUUCAUUUUCUUUCCUUUUUCUUCAUUUCCUGCCUUUCCCUCCUUUUCUAUCAUUCUCUUUCCCUUCCUUCCUUUCCCAUUCUUUCUCUUCCUUUUAUACAGCCGCCGAUCUGGCUUCCCAGCAGGGCAAGAAACCAGAAAAAAAAAAUAUGGAGACGGGCGUCCUGAAUACCCCCUCCCCAGGAAAAGUCGUGAGCUAUCGGGAGAGACCCCAGGUCCGAGAUUGCUGGGAGGAGUUGCAAUGCCUUGAUCGGAGAUCCGCUCUGAGACGGUAGGAAGCCACGUGGAGGUUGGAGAAAGGCUGAGCCGCAGAUCCCCGACAACUUAAGAACAACAGGAGAUCUCAAAAAAGAUCCCAGAGCGAUGAUUCUUAGCCAUCAUCCAAUCCGUGGGAGCUAAAAGCCAACUUGAUCCUUAAAAAGAUCUUUUUAGGGUUGUAGGAGAUGAGACUCCAGGAAGAAGAACAGGGUUUGGACAAGCUUGAGGUGUAACCAAGAAAAAUGAAGAUCGGCAAACAAAAUGAAGACACCCAGGACUGACUUGAAAAGAGUGUCGGAAAAAAUAACCUCCAGUGUAUUAAUUUGAUGUAUUUCUUUGCCUGUUCCUAGAUGUACUUUUUGAGUUAUUCAAAGCCGUUACCAAUAAUUACAUUUUUGGAAACAAAUGUGAUGAUGUCAUUUUUUAAAAAAGAUCAGUAAAUCUCAGAGCUGGCAUCCUACAGCCUAUUUAAAUUUGGCACCUACUAAGAAUGAUUGAAUAUAAUUUGACAAUCGAAGUUACUUCGGUGCAUAACCCUGAUUCAUAGUUUAAAUGAAGGCCCAAUUUAAUCUAAUGAAAUAAAAAUUCUUAAACUGUC